rnacentral:rRNA from 1 species
UACGGGGGGAGCAAGCGUUGUUCGGAUUUACUGGGCGUAAAGGGCGCGUAGGCGGUCGUGACAAGUCACUUGUGAAAUCUCCGGGCUUAACUCGGAACGGUCAAGUGAUACUGUCGGACUAGAGUACAGAAGGGGCAACUGGAAUUCUCGGGUGUAGCGGUGAAAUGCGUAGAUAUCGAGAGGAACACCUGCGGCGAAGGCGGGUUGCUGGGCUGACACUGACGCUGAGGCGCGAAAGCCAGGGGAGCGAACGGG